GGAGAUAUCAUAUGUGGUGUGGUGUCUCUGGACUUCAGCCUAACAUUAUUUGAAAACGCCUUCGAUGUGUGAUUACGUUUUCUUUAAAAGAUUUACGAGAGUGUGUAUAAAUGCGUUUCAGUUCUACGUGAUCAGGCGACUACAGAUUGUUACAGCAAAAUCUUGAUGACAGAAAAUCCAGUUGAAGAACAACGUUUACUGGAGAGGCAGAUUAUGUCCAAACUGCACAUGGAAAGAGACGCUGAAGAACUUCGAAGACUUUAAAAGAGGCGACCAUAUAUGUUAUCGUCCUUAUUGUCUCUCUUUGUAUAGACACCAUGCAUUAGUUGAUAAAGUAUGUGUAGCAGGCAACAGGGCAGAAUUGACAUUGAUCCAUUUUUGCCGAUCGGAUUGACAAAAAACAGGUUGGUCUGACUUGAAAAGCAAAUUUAAAAUUCAGCAAACUAAUGAAGCAUUUGAUAACCCAAGUUCUAUAAAAAUUAUCAAAUAUCCAACUGACAGGAGGAAAUCUCCAAAUGACAUUAUAAAGAACGCUGAAAAUGAAAUGAAAAAAGGCGAAGAGAUAUCAUAUAGUCUAUAUUCCUAUAACUGCGAACAUUUGUGCUUUAAAAGCACUAUUUCAUGUAGCUGAUACAAUUUAAUGUUAGACAUAACAAUUAUCUUGGACAAUAAUACGUUGUCUCUCUUUUCUUGAUUUCAAAGGAGUAGCAAUGGAUAUACAUAUAAACAUAUAGUGAUGAAAUUAAAUAUGUAUGUAUUAAAUAUGUAUGGAAAAGUAAAAGGUAAGGUAGACGAUGAGAGGUGAUAGGAAUAAGGAAAAGUGGAUCGAACCGGUAUGUUUAUUUUCUUCAUUAUUGCAACCAGACUAAUAUGAGAUGCUAAAGAUUAGUGAUUAAAAAUUGUAAUAUAUGAGAGUAAAGUGACUGGCGAGAGGUCUGAUAUCAAAUAUUUCUUUUAUUUGUCAGAACUGAAUUGUUAUGUUUGGUUUUUCAGUUGGUGUUUUGAAAGUAGUCUAAUGCACAAAAUGUUUAAAUAACUCGGAAAUCGUAAAAGUGAAAUGCACGUACUGUGAUGUGCCGUGUCGACGAGAUUUAAUCACAGUUGUAGAGAAUGUAAGUUAUAAUGUAUAUAAUAUACGUGUAUAUUCAAUUUCAUGAACUAGCACAUAUAACUGGUAGAUCAAUGUAUUAAAAAGAGUUUGUUGCAAUGAUAGACUGUCAACUUGAGUUUUUCCCUCAUAGUUUCUGUUAUAUUUACUGGAAGCAUAGCCAUUGUUUUGUUACUGAAAUAUAAACAAAUUGAGAAAUUAUUUGUUAUAUGUUAGAAAAUAGUCUGAAUGUACACUGCAACUAGUAGAAAUUGUUCAAAAUGUUACUAGAGUAUGCUACUAGAAUUAGGUUUUGAGUAACGAACGUUGGUAGUGCUACUGGCACAGGUAAAUGGUAUUAUUAUGUACAGGAAGUAGUUGUUUUUUUUAAUUAUUUUUUUUUUUAACAAAGAAAUAUAAAGAAUGCUAUGUGGCGAUCAAAACCGUGAAGUUUAUUUGUGUUGUCGCACGUGUAACUGGUGGUAUAUAAUGUUAUUGGCAGUCUGAGGUGAUGUACGUAUUUAAUUGAAUCUUUGCCUGAAAGACGGUGUUACAGUUGCAAGUGAAGGAUAUUCAAGUAAAAGUGAUGUAGGGACAUGUGUAUUUAGGUGUUUUGUUGAGGACUCAAAACUGUUGACAGUGCUUGUUGUGUUGUUGUAGUUUUUUUUGUGCUAAGAUGCCAAAAUACCAAAAAUAUUUAUUAUGUUAUGGGUGCAAAGGAUAAAAUAAACCAAUUAAAUCCAGUGAUAUGGUUUUGUCAGCAUGGAAACACGUGAUAGGAAGUAUUAAAAGGAAUAAAAUUUCAAUAGCAUAUGUUUUGUGCAAUGACGCACGUGAUGAAAUUUUUGAAAAUAAAAAAGAAAUAGAUAAACUUUCUGAACUAAUGUUUGUGAGUUAUACGUGUGGUCACGUUUGGAAAAAAAUUGUUUAGUUAUAAAUUUCUUGUGCAAUGAUGCACGUGAUCAUAUUUUUCGUGCAAGGAGAUCUUAUUUGACAGGGAAAAGUAUCAAUGACAGAAUCUUGGCGAAAUUAUGCACAUGAUCAUGUAUUAAAAAAAAAAAAAAAAAAAACUCUGGAUUUUAGAUAUUCAAUUGUGUUUAUCAGGUAUAAAAAAAGACGGUUUAGUUCUAUUGAUCUUAAAGAUUAAAUGAAUAUAUUGAUUCGAAACAUUUUAAAAUGGAAACGCUCAAAUCUGCUAAUUUACUGAUAAAACCAUGUUUAUACUUAGCAAAGCUGCAAUCUUAAAGAUGCUUAUUAAAGCGUAAAUGUGGCGGAACAAUGCAGAAAAUAGUUGGGUUUUUGCUGAAACAUUUGCUGUCCCUGCAGUACCCCAUACUUUUCACAGAAUCUUCCCUAGAGGGUUGGAGUACUGUAAAUGAAUUGGUCAAUGGGAUAUAAACAGGAACCACCUAGAGCUUAGGGCAGUUUGGCAGUUUUUAAUAGCAUUACAGUCUUUUUGUAAAUAUAUGCUUGAUAUUUACAGAUAAUACAGUCACAGCUACUUGCAUAAACAAACAAGGGUCAAGUAAAUCAAAGCUUAAUGACAUAACUCAGGGAGAGCUGUUUGCAUAGAAAGGAAGAUACGAAUUAAUUUCGCAGUAGCAAAUUUCUUGGGUAAUGGUACACAUGAAAUUGUUUGUAAAUUUUUGUGCAAUGAUGCACGUGGCCAUAUCUGCGAAACAACAAAAAUCAAUUUCAAAUUUAUUGUGCAGUGUUGCAUGUGAUCUUACUUUCAAUCAAAUGUUUUUCAGUUACAUUUCUUGGGCAAUGAUGAGCCUGGUCAUAAUUUCUUGUGCUAUGAUGUACGUGUUCAUUUCUUUUCUGAAAACAAAUUUCAAGUGUACUGAUAUAUAUAUACCUAUUUUUGUUUGGGGCAAACAUUGCUUAAUUAUUUUCAUACCGAAGAAUAUUCCUCCGGCCACUAAUCGAUAGCGGUCAGAUUUUCUAUAUAGAAAUAAGAAGGGCAUGUAAACAUUUUACUUAAUAACAAAAUUACUAAAAAUAAGAAACCUUAGGUGCAAAAAUAUUACCAAAGUUCAACAUUUGAUUCAUCACAAGUUUUUUUUAAAUUAAAUUUUAUCUUAAUUUUUGAUUCGUUCUUCACAUGAAGUUUAAUGCCAUCAUUUCGUCAUUUUUUCCCUUUUUUUUUCCAUAUAAAAUGUGCAAAAAUCUCAUACAUGCGUUUCUUCAAAGCAUUUUUUUAUAUAAAACUAUUGAUAUGAAAGCUUAGGUGCAAAACAUUUCCUACUCUCAUUCAAUUUAUCUUUUGAAUGAUAUUUAUUUCAUUUUUGUGAAAUAAAAAUUUGAUUCGUUCUUAGACGGUUUAUUUCCACUAAUUUGGAAGAAAAAUUAACUUCAGCGCGAAGUUGUUGUUGUAGCGUCAUAAGCAGACGAUAUUAUUAUGCCGCGUGAACAUGCGGUAUUGUGAUCAAAAGGUUAAAGUAAUGAUUUAAUCAUUUGAUGUAAUUUACUUCGCGAGUAAUUCAUUUUGUGUUAAUAUCACAAAUUCGCAAUAUAAGAAAUGCAAUUAAAUAUUGCAAUUAAUAUUUAGGUUCUAAUAAGAAAGAGAUAUGCAUUUCUUCUUAUGUUGUUGUUCUCACCUUAUUUCAUAUACAU